CCUACGGGAGGCAGCAGUGGGGAAUAUUGCGCAAUGGGCGAAAGCCUGACGCAGCGACGUAGCGUGAGGGAUGAAGGUCUUCGGAUCGUAAACCUCUGUCUGCAGGGAAGAACGGUCACUGUGCUAUUCAGCAGUGUAUUGACGGUACCUGCAAAGGAAGCACCGGCUAACUCCGUGCCAGCAGCCGCGGUAAUACGGAGGGUGCGAGCGUUAAUCGGAGUUACUGGGCGUAAAGCGCUCGUAGGCGGUAUGUCAAGUCAAGGGUGAAAUCCGCGCGCUCAACGUGGGAACUGCCUUUGAAACUGGCAGACUUGAGUAUAUGAGAGGAGAGUGGAAUUCGAGGUGUAGGAGUGAAAUGCUUAGAUAUCUGGAGGAACACCAGUGGCGAAGGCGACUAUCUGGCACGUAACUGACGCUGAGGAGCGAAAGCGUGGGUAGCAAACAGGAUUAGAUACCCCAGUAGUC
rnacentral:rRNA from 1 species